CAGUCAGCGGCGGCGGGCGGCGGGAGUAGCAGUGAAACAGUGAGUGGGUGCCUUCGUGAGUGCCACAGGUGAGGAAAACUGGCUGGUGCUGAAACAAUGUUUUCACUCGGCUAAUGCUUGGAAAGACUUGAAUGGCCUCGGCUUGCUGUCAAAUGUUGUGGUGUGGUGAGGUGCAGAACAACGUGUAUCUCAGGGAAGAAUGCAGCUUUUGAACUCGCGGAAUAACCUGUCGUCCGCAGCUCCCCGCGCAGUCCGUUUCACCACUAGCACCGGCAGAAAGAGGUCGAGGUGCAGAGGUCUCGUGGCGUGACGCAGAAGGACAUGAUGAAGGAGUGUAGGUGUGAAGUGUGCGGUUUCCAUUUCACCAUCCCAUGAACAACCCACAAGAAUCUCUACCAACACCUACUACUGCACUACUGGCAUCUGGUUAUCAAAUAGUGCUGCCAUUCUCCAUUGCAAUCAGGGAGUCAAGUUUCAUCAGGAAGAGAGGCCAAGCGUCUUUACCUUCAAGCCUGACAAGAGGUGUAAAGAAGUAUCAUCAGGAAAAAGAAAAGGGCUUAGUACAAGAGUUUUCAUUGCAAUCAAGGAAGUCAAGUUGCAGCAAGGAGUGGAAGGCAAAAAUUUUGAGCAGGAGCAAGAUUGUCAAGCAGUUAACAGCAGGAAGAGUGCAUGAAACUCCCUUCAAGUUGUGGUGAGACUGAACAAGCAACAUUGAGGACUUUCAGAGGCAAGACCUAUUGGCAGUUUCACCAGGAAAAGUUUGCUUCUCGCGUGCAAGUUGACAAGAAUCAGCAAGCGUCGCUACCUCCAAGCUCUGCUGCAUAGUUUUCACUCCAGUUUGGGAAGGAAGAAUGUAAGAAGCCCCCUCUUCUGUACUCAACAAGCAUCACCACCUUCAUCCAGGCUUGGGAUAAGUUUUGUACAUUCCAGCCAGUAGUACUUCAGUAAUAAAGAAAAUAAGUGCCAUGUUUUUUA